rnacentral:rRNA from 1 species
ACGGGGCGCAGCAGGCGCGAAAACUGCACAAUGUGGGAAACCACGAUGCGGGAAACCCAAGUGCCAGCGCAAUGCGUUGGCUGUCCUCCAGUGUUCGUAACUGGGGAAGAAAGUGCUGGGUAUGACGGGUGCCAGCCGCCGCGGUAAUACCCGCAGCACAAGUGGUGGUCAUUAUUAUUGGGCCUAAAGCGUCCGUAGCUGGCUUGUUAGAUGCCUGGGUAAAUCGAUGCGCUCAACGCAUCGAACUCCGGGUAGACCGGCAAGCUUGGGACCGGGAGAGGCGUGAGCUACUCGAGGGGUAGGGGUAAAAUCCUGUAAUCCUUCGGGGAGGACCAGUGGCGAAGGCGUCACGCUAGAACGGCUCCGACAGUGAGGGACGAAGCCCUGGGGCGCAAACCGGAUUAGAUACCCGGGUAGUCCAGGGUGUAAACGCUGCAGACUUGGUGUCGCUGAUCCUACGAGGGUUGGCGGUACCGUAGAGAAGUUGUUUAGUCUGCCGCCUGGGGAGUACGGUCGCAAGACUGAAACUCAAAGGAAUUGACGGA